rnacentral:rRNA from 1 species
UGUGACCUCGGAUCAGGUAG